UACGUAGGGGGCGAGCGUUGUCCGGAAUUACUGGGCGUAAAGAGCUCGUAGGCGGUUUGUCGCGUCGUCUGUGAAAUCCUCCAGCUUAACUGGGGGCGUGCAGGCGAUACGGGCAUAACUUGAGUACUGUAGGGGAGACUGGAAUUCCUGGUGUAGCGGUGAAAUGCGCAGAUAUCAGGAGGAACACCGGUGGCGAAGGCGGGUCUCUGGGCAGUAACUGACGCUGAGGAGCGAAAGCAUGGGGAGCGAACAGG
rnacentral:rRNA from 1 species